UGAGGAAUUUUGCGCAAUGGGAGCAAUCCUGACGCAGCAACGCCGCGUGGGUGAUGAAGGCCUUCGGGUCGUAAAGCCCUGUCAGGUGGGAAGAAUGUCCCGGGACUGAACAGGUUCCGGGAGUGACGGUACCACCAGAGGAAGCACCGGCUAACUCCGGGCCAGCAGCCGCGGUAAGACGGAGGGUGCAAGCGUUAUUCGGAAUUACUGGGCGUAAAGCGCGUGUAGGCGGUCCUGCAAGUCUGAUGUGAAAGCCCCGGGCUUAACGCGGGAAGUGCAUUGGAAACUGUGGGACUUGAGUACUGUAGAGGAUGGGGGAAUUCCCGGUGUAGAGGUGAAAUUCGUAGAGAUCGGGAGGAAUAUCAGUGGCGAAGGCGCCCAUCUGGACGGUAACUGACGCUGAGACGCGAAAGCGUGGGGAGCAAACA
rnacentral:rRNA from 1 species